AAACAUUAAUUGAUUUCUGAUUCCGAUGGCUGGAUGUCAGGGAAGAGAGGUUAAAGUCCUCCGCUGCCCCGCAGCCGUGAAGGGAACGAAAGCCCGUAAAACAAAUGCCACUGUUGUGGGUAAUACCAUAAUGGGAAGGCGGGUAAGUAGGAAGCCCAAAGCCGGAAGACCUAUCCAGAACAUGAGUUCUAA
rnacentral:ncRNA from 2 species